CCGCGUGUGUGAAGAAGGUCUUCGGAUUGUAAAGCACUUUAAGCUGGGAGGAAGGGCAGUAAGUUAAUACCUUGCUGCUUUGACGUUACCAGCAGAAUAAGCACCGGCUAACUUCGUGCCAGCAGCCGCGGUAAUACGAAGGGUGCAAGCGUUAAUCGGAAUUACUGGGCGUAAAGCGCGCGUAGGUGGUUCAGCAAGUUGGAUGUGAAAGCCCCGGGCUCAACCUGGGAACUGCAUCCAAAACUACUGAGCUAGAGUAUGGUAGAGGGUGGUGGAAUUU
rnacentral:rRNA from 1 species